UACAGAGGGGGCGAGCGUUGUUCGGAAUUACUGGGCGUAAAGGGCGCGUAGGCGGCCCGCUAAGUCGAACGUGAAAUCCCCAGGCUCAACCUGGGAACUGCGUCCGAUACUGGCAGGCUUGAAUCCGGGAGAGGGAUGUGGAAUUCCAGGUGUAGCGGUGAAAUGCGUAGAUAUCUGGAGGAACACCGGUGGCGAAGGCGACACCCUGGACCAGCACUGACACUGAGGCACGAAAGCGUGGGGAGCAAACAGG
rnacentral:rRNA from 1 species